ACUCUUUCUCGGCCUUUUGGCUAAGAUCAAGUGUAGUAUCUGUUCUUAUCAGUUUAAUAUCUGAUAUGUCGUCUAUUUGAGGACUAUAUAUUAAAUGGAAUUUUGGAGUUGGGUUUUUUUGAGAGCCAGU